rnacentral:lncRNA from 1 species
AAAGAAAGAAGUAGACCAAAAUAUGAAGACAGAAGUCUGAGGUUCACAUGUGAAUCUAUUUCAAACAGUUAGAGAAGUUACCACUCUUAGUUUAGGUUGCUGGGGGUACUAUCCACACAAUUAACCAAGGCCAUGGCUUUUAUGAAGAUUUCAUUAUCAGCUUUUGAUGAAAAAUCAUCUAGUAAAGUCUCCUGUGGUUAUUCAAGCUAAAAUGACAUGGGAAAUACAGGGAAGAAAAUGACAGGCACUCACACAAGUUCUGACAGAGCUGAAGAGUGAUAAAAUUAUUAGAUACUAGAAUGUCUCAGUGAUAUAAUUGCCUCCUCCCAGGCUUUGCAGCACUUGUCCCUGUGCUGUCUCUCUCCUCUUCCUCUGAAUGGCUUUCCACAGCAUGGGAGAGAUGGUCUUGGUGGAGAGAAGGGUCCUCCUCCUCUUGCCUCCAAUGAGGUGCAGUAGGUACUUGGGAGAAGAUUGAGAGAAGAAUGUGUUUAAAAUGGUGUUUACGUCUCAGGAGCUACAGUAAGAAAAAGGGUUAUAAGUGAAAGAUAAAGCCCCCAGUAUUUGCACCCCAGUCAGUCAAAAAUCCAAUUUGCUGGAGAGCAUGAAGGAAUCAGAGUUCUGACAGAUGGAAGGAAGAGAAACACUGUUCCCCAUGGACAGACUCAAGUGGCCUCAUUAUUGGAGUAAUGUAUAGUUGCAUCUAGCAAAUCUAGACUAGUAUUCAUUCCUAGUCUGCAGAUUUUUCAGUAAUGCUCUGAACUGCACAGUGAAUAUAAAAGUAUUCUUCUAGACUACAUCUACAUGACUGCUGGGCUUUUUGUAAAUAUUUUGGAAAGAAGCACAGACACCCUUUGCCUCACAAUGUCAGGAACUGCAAGGGGAAAACAACCAGAAGCAAGAAGGAGGCCCCGCUACCUACUGUAAUGCCAUGGCAGGCUGGCAAGGAAAUUAAGGUCAAGGCAGCAGAAACUGAGAGCUCCAGCAACUCUGCACACAGCAGGCAGCGCUACAUCAGCCCAAACAUAGAUUUCCUUUCUAGAAUGACAAAACAUUGGAAUGGUGGCAAACAGAAACCUGGGCAGAACUGUUAUACAUGUCAUGGUAUCUUGAGCAAUGAAUUCUUUCUGUUAAUAUUAACUGCAAGGUGCGGCUGA